rnacentral:rRNA from 1 species
ACUCCUGCGGGAGGCAGCAGUGGGGAAUAUUGGACAAUGGGCGCAAGCCUGAUCCAGCCAUGCCGCGUGAGUGAUGAAGGCCCUAGGGUUGUAAAGCUCUUUCACCGGAGAAGAUAAUGACGGUAUCCGGAGAAGAAGCCCCGGCUAACUUCGUGCCAGCAGCCGCGGUAAUACGAAGGGGGCUAGCGUUGUUCGGAAUUACUGGGCGUAAAGCGCACGUAGGCGGAUCGAUCAGUCAGGGGUGAAAUCCCAGGGCUCAACCCUGGAACUGCCUUUGAUACUGUCGAUCUGGAGUAUGGAAGAGGUGAGUGGAAUUCCGAGUGUAGAGGUGAAAUUCGUAGAUAUUCGGAGGAACACCAGUGGCGAAGGCGGCUCACUGGUCCAUUACUGACGCUGAGGUGCGAAAGCGUGGGGAGCAAACAGGAUUAGAAACCCCGGUAGUCCCAU